rnacentral:rRNA from 1 species
AGCGAACGCUGGCGGCAGGCCUAACACAUGCAAGUCGAACGAACCCUUCGGGGUUAGUGGCGGACGGGUGAGUAACACGUGGGAACGUACCUUUAGGUUCGGAACAACACAGGGAAACUUGUGCUAAUGCCGAAUGUGCCCUUCGGGGGAAAGAUUUAUCGCCUUUAGAGCGGCCCGCGUCUGAUUAGCUUGUUGGUGAGGUAAAGGCUCACCAAGGCUUCGAUCAGUAGCUGGUCUGAGAGGAUGAUCAGCCACACGUGGGACUGAGACACGGCCCAGACUCCUACGGGAGGCAGCAGUGGGGAAUCUUGCGCAAUGGGCGAAAGCCUGACGCAGCCAUGCCGCGUGAAUGAUGAAGGUCUUAGGAUUGUAAAAUUCUUUCACCGGGGAAGAUAAUGACGGUACCCGGAGAAGAA